AACUAAUGAACUUGGAUAAGUAUAUAUUUUGAAAAUAUAAUAGAGAAGUUUAAUCUUCUAUUAGUUU
rnacentral:tRNA from 1 species